rnacentral:rRNA from 1 species
UACCGGGGGGGCAAGCGUUGUUCGGAAUUACUGGGCGUAAAGGGUCUGUAGGUGGCUUGCUAAGUCAGACGUGAAAUCCCUCAGCUUAACUGGGGAACUGCGUCUGAUACUGGCAAGCUUGAGUGCAGGAGAGGAACGCGGAAUUCCAGGUGUAGCGGUGAAAUGCGUAGAUAUCAGGAAGAACACCAAUGGCGAAAGCAGCUUUCUGGGACGGUACUGACGCUGAGACGCGAAAGCGUGGGGAGCGAACAGG